CCUACGGGGGGCAGCAGUGAGGAAUAUUGGUCAAUGGGCGAGAGCCUGAACCAGCCAAGUCGCGUGAGGGAAGACGGUCCUCUGGAUUGUAAACCUCUUUUGUCGGGGAGCAAAAAGGCCUCGUGAGGCCACAAGUGCGCGUACCCGAAGAAAAAGCAUCGGCUAACUCGGUGCCAGCAGCCGCGGUAAUACGGGGGAUGCGAGGGUUAUCCGGAUUUAUUGGGGUUAAAGGGUGCGUAGGCGGACUGGAAAGUCAGCGGUAAAAUCGAGAGGCUCAACCUCUUUCCGCCGUUGAAACUGUCGGUCUAGAGUGGGCGAGAGGUAUGCGGAAUGCGUGGUGAAGCGGUGAAAUGCGUAGAUAUAACGCAGAACUCCGAUUGCGAAGGCAGCAUACCGGCGCCCGACUGACGCUGAGGCACGAAAGCGUGGGUAGCGAACAGGAUUAGAUACCCCUGUAGUC
rnacentral:rRNA from 1 species